UUUCCCUCAGGAUAGCAGUAACGUUUUCAGUUUUAUGAGGUAAAGCGAAUGAUUAGGGACUCGGGGGCGCUAUUUUGCCUUCAUCCAUUCUCAAACUUUAAAUAUGUAAGAAGUCCUUGUCACUUAAUUGGACGUGGACAUGCGAAUGAGAGUUUCUAGUGGGCCAUUUUUGGUAAGCAGAACUGGCGAUGAGGGAUGAACCUAACGCU
rnacentral:rRNA from 1 species